GUCUCCGUGGCGCAAUGGUAGCGCGUUGGACUUCUACCAUUUACAAUCGGUCAUCCAAAGGCUGCGGGUUCGAGCCCCGCCGGAGAUG